GUCCUUCUGUGGUUCUUAAGUGUGAUGACUGGGGUUUCACACUACUGUGAGAUUUGCCUCCCUCAAAUUUUGCUACUAGUUGGCACACUACCUGCCUGAUG